rnacentral:rRNA from 1 species
UACGUAGGGUGCGAGCGUUGUCCGGAAUUAUUGGGCGUAAAGAGCUCGUAGGCGGUCUGUCGCGUCGAUCGUGAAAACUUGGGGCUUAACCCUGAGCUUGCGGUCGAUACGGGCAUGACUGGAGUUCGGCAGGGGAGACUGGAAUUCCUGGUGUAGCGGUGAAAUGCGCAGAUAUCAGGAGGAACACCGGUGGCGAAGGCGGGUCUCUGGGCCGGCAUUGACGCUGAGGCGCGAAAGCUAGGGGAGCAAACGGG